rnacentral:rRNA from 1 species
CCUACGGGUGGCAGCAGUGAGGAAUAUUGGUCAAUGGACGAGAGUCUGAACCAGCCAAGUAGCGUGAAGGAUGACUGCCCUAUGGGUUGUAAACUUCUUUUAUAUGGGAAUAAAACGUUCCACGUGUGGGUUUUUGUAUGUACCAUAUGAAUAAGGAUCGGCUAACUCCGUGCCAGCAGCCGCGGUAAUACGGAGGAUCCGAGCGUUAUCCGGAUUUAUUGGGUUUAAAGGGAGCGUAGGUGGAUUGUUAAGUCAGUUGUGAAAGUUUGCGGCUCAACCGUAAAAUUGCAGUUGAAACUGGCAGUCUUGAGUACAGUAGAGGUGGGCGGAAUUCGUGGUGUAGCGGUGAAAUGCUUAGAUAUCACGAAGAACUCCGAUUGCGAAGGCAGCUCACUGGACUGCAACUGACACUGAGGCUCGAAAGUGUGGGUAUCAAACAGGAUUAGAUACCCCUGUAGUA